rnacentral:rRNA from 1 species
UACGUAGGUGGCAAGCGUUGUCCGGAAUUAUUGGGCGUAAAGCGCGCGCAGGCGGUCCUUUAAGUCUGAUGUGAAAGCCCACGGCUCAACCGUGGAGGGUCAUUGGAAACUGGGGGACUUGAGUGCAGGAGAGAAGAGUGGAAUUCCUGGUGUAGCAGUGAAAUGCGUAGAUAUCAGGAGGAACACCGAUGGCGAAGGCAGGUCUCUGGGCUGACACUGACGCUCAUGCACGAAAGCGUGGGGAGCAAACAGG